AAAAAGUUUGUUUGGUUUUUUCCCCCCAUAACAUCUUACAGAGAAUCCCGAAUGAACUUUCUGGCCAACCCAAUAACUUUCACAACUUUCAGACCUUGGAAAACCCUGGGGAAGUCAUUAAGUCUUGGCUGUGCUGCUCUUUUCCCAGCUUCCCACCCCAGUCACACAGUGAUCAAGAGACGAUGGGUCUGGACACUCUGGUAUUGCUGCCUGCUCUCUGAAGGGUAACAUGGACCAGAGGAUUUCUGCAGAAAGGAGGCCUCAGUGAUGUGUGUUACAUUAACAUCAUAUGAGUCCUGCGUUCUCAAGAUGGAAGCACUAUUUACAAUAGCCAGGACAUGGAAACAACCUAAAUGGACAGAUGAAUGGAUAAAGAAGAUGUAGGAUAUAUACAAUGAAAUAUUACUCAGUCAUUAAAAGGAGAGAAAUAAUACCUUUUACAGCAACAUGAAUGGACCUAGAGACUGUCAUAUAAAGUGAGGCAUGGAGGUGAACUGCUGAGAUCCCUCUUCAAAAAGGAUUCAUUGCCUAGCUGCUGAAAUAUAGGGGCCAGAGAAACAUUAAAUAAUGCCAAGGAGAUGGCUGCAACCAACCAAAUCCAGAAUGUGGGAGAAGACGACAAGAUUUCCAUAAACACCAAUGCUUUUGUAUGACCAUCCCUCUGCCUGGCUAUUCCAGAGAUGUCACUAAACAAGCAAGCAGCUUGGUGUACUCAAAUGUAUCAUUCAAGUCUUAUUGUACCUGUUUAUGCAGGCUUCCUCCUCUGGGCAACCUGA
ensembl:lncRNA